CUCGGCGUCAAGUUAACAUCUAUAUACGUCUUAAACAUUUACAAGCAGCGUCGCUGUACGAAAAAAUCGUCGAAAAUGCUGAUGAACUGCUACCCAGUGAGCCGGUACGAUAGAACUCGUUACGGCGUUGUAUCGUGUUAACUGCUGCGGCAGCAGUUCUCUCUCCUUUCUAUGUCCUGGUUGUUCUCUCGUUAAUGCCUACAAGAAGUAAGAACCUGUGGAAUAUCUCCUGAACUUGUGUUUGGAGGACGUGUCACGAUAGAGUAGAAACGAGAUCCGUCCGUUGGCACAGACGGUUGCUUUUUUACUUACCUUUCUCCAUUUUACGCUCCAUUUUUACUAUUUUCGCGACGUCAUCGAAAUCGCCUAUCAAGAACGCUCGCCAAUCAAUCGAUUCUCGCUAACGAUCCGUUUCGCUGCUUACACCGUGGCCGGCGAGUAAAAGUAGUGUCGUCGCCUGGGGCUGCUUAGAGAAAAAGUUGUGAUCUCCUGUGUAACUUAACGGGGAAAUCUUAGGGAAACGUACCUGCCUUGCUAUUCCCGAAGGAAAUCGAAAAGCUAGCGCGACAGGUUUCCACGUGGCCUGUUGUAUGCGACCAAUGGCGUGCAAGGUACGACCUCGUAUCUCGAUAGCUUCCUACGUCCUUCCGCUUGUAAUAGAAUUUCAGACUACGUGAAAAGUGCUGACACAGCUUAGGAACAACUGUGUACAUUAUAUGUAUAUAUAUAUAUAUAUAUAUAGAUUAUACAGGGAGUAUCUGAACAUGCGCGACAGGUGGUCACAUUGAAAAGCCCUAUAAACUUUCAGAAGAGACUCAGAACUUGUAGCCUAGACUUCCUUUGUAUUUAUCCAUACGGUAACGAUGUGGAAUGCUCACCGCGUCUUAGGGUCAGCGCUCAUGUACGCAUUUCAAUAACUGUACUGGAUAAGAAUGAUGUCGUGCACAGCUUAAAAGGUCUCCAGUGGGUCCUUUUAUUAUUUUAACCUGAGCACCCUCUACGUAGUCUAUGUCCUCAGACGAUUUUCCUAUACCUUUGUCAUUUUUAUUGAUUUUAUCUUUCGCCUUGUAUAAUAAUAUUUUUUAGACGUGUUCGAUAUAUCAAUCAUUUUUAAAAAGUGUAUAUAUAUACUGUUGCAAUAGGUCUUAUUAAGAUCUCCAAUACUUCAAGAUAAACAUUUUCCAAACGCUAUCACUGAUACCGGAACCACCGUCAAUACAACGGAAGAUUGACAAUGAUUGUGCUACGAGAAUAGGCUCGUUCUCGUCAAUUAGAAACAAUUAGAUAGGAACCGUUUUUAAGAGUGGUACAUAUACACGGUUAUCAAUUAGCAUCUCAUCGAGAACCCGAACGAUAGUUUCCCGUCUCGUUCAACUUAUUUUCUCGUUGGAACUUAGAUAACGUUUGAUUUUCACGAUGCGCUUCAGUAUUGUAUCGACUGAUAAGAUAAAAUGUGAAUCGAUUGUAGAAUUGUGUCGAAUAACUUUGUCAAGAGUUCGUACUUCUUGAUAUAGAAAAUUCGACUCAGGCAGAAUCACGUACGCAGGUCCUUAUCAAAUUAAAUGAUAAGAUCCUGAAAGGUAAAAAAUCUUGCUCGCCAUGGACGUAAUCACCUUUGUCCCUGGGUCCUUACAAGUCCCUAUAACGGAAACUGGCCGACCUUGCACUCGAAGUGUGUCAAACGGGACAGUGAACACCUCCGCCAGGAACGAUAUCUUUUCUCUAACGUACCGUUAAACUCUUGCAUACUCGUUUUCCUUCUUACUGAACAUCAUUCUCGUAUAAAAUAUUCUGAAAAUCAUUGUACGACCUCAUGCACGGGAGGGCAUGAGUAAUAAAUCGGCGAAUUUCUGUAUAGUAACUUACGCACGUACAGUAUCACCCUGUAUCAAAUUUUACGCACGUAGAAUUACGCAAGAGCUACAGUAUCCUGGGAUAUCCGAGAUAACUAUUGCACCUUGGAGUUUGGAAUCACUAGACGAGACACAGAUUAAUGAUAGUCGAAUAAAAUACGCCAAGUGACACACAGUGUUAAAAUAAUAGUAAAGAGUAUAAGACUGAUCAAACCGAGUGUAGGGCUCUACUUAAAAAACAGCUUUAGGAACUUGAUUAAUGUUCAUUAUCAUCCGCUUCCAGUCCACUUCCAUCGCAAACACUGCACCUACUAGUUCUCAUUGUCCGGAUACCAGCUCAGUAACGUUUCCCACCGUUGACGUUCAUUUAUCCGCACAUCCGCUCUGGAUCUUGGCCAAGGAACGUAACUAGCUUCGAGUGCUUUCCUUCUCUGCAUCCUUUUCUGUCUCCUUGAUCAUUGCGCCAUAUGAAUCAUCAUCCAUCGUUGGGCACCUGCAACAAUAUAUUAAGCGUAUAUAAGGUAUUCGGCCUUCGACGUGGGACUCUGAGUGAAAAAGAUGUUGGCUACGAUUCGCGUCAAAGAUGUCGCUGCCAUUAAUAGCUUCUUACUAAUGCGUCUAUGUACAAUGUUGUGUACCAGAAGUUACUGAAAGAGCGUCAUCUAGCAUAGACGUAGAUUAGGCUCACGAUAUUUAUUCGAGGAAUAAUAUUUUAACUAAGAUAAGCGAUAUGAAUUAUUAGGCCACUGAUCUUUAUUGUUUCAAUUAACGUUUUAUUGAACUUAUUAUAUAAAUCUUUUUAGUGGUACUAAGAUAUUACACGUAUCUGUAUAACAGAUAUACAGCUCUUUGUUGGUUCUGGUUCUCAGUAUAUUUGAAGCCUAAAACAUAUCUUUGUAUUCUCGUGUAAUUCAAUAUACAGUAAGGGUCUCUGUAGUUUAACGAGCGACUAGACUUGUAUAUAAGAUUUUCCAUGUUUUGCAAAUAGCGAGCUCCGCUAAGCACGUUUAAACGAUAAGGAAACCGACAAACGUUCAGCGCGUAUAAGUAAAGGCUACUCGAAUGCUCUGUACCAGAUAUUCAGUACUGAAAUUUACUGACUUUACAACUUCUAAUCACUUGUUUUAAUAUUAAUUAGCUGAUUAGUUAAUUUUUGACAUUUAUAUUUGAUGUAUCCAAGCUUGCGUCUGGUCUUGUUCUUCUUCAAUUCAAUGAUAAUCUCGGCCACGUACUUUUUCACGAAUUUCACAAUGUCUCCGUAUUAUCCCUGGCGUUCAAGUUUCUUACUGUUUAUUUAAAUUCAUCGAAAACGUCCCGUUCUACGGAGUGCGAUUAGCGUUAAGCUGUGAAUUUCAAUUGCAUUGACUUAUCGGAUUUCGCAGUAAGCCGAUAACGACGAGUAGACCAGUAGCCAAUACGCGCUCGACACGCUUUGAAUUUCCCGACUUUCGUAAGAGAGAAAGGAGUAGAGGAGGAUCCGAUCGAAGGCAGGAGAUGCCAGUCUAAAGAUGGAGAAUACAUGAUUAUCCAGCUGCUGACAUUUGAUCUGAGAUUUACAUUCUCUGGAGCAACACAAAUAUCCUGAAUUUUAUUCUUGGGUUUGCUAUCUUAUUUACAUGGAGAGAGGCACAAGAGAUUGAAUGAUCGAAAAAAGAAACGUCCAUUUGUCUUUGCUUCGUUACGAUAUUUUUAAUGAAAACAUAAGAGAGCAUCUUUAGACUUCAUUAUGAGAUGAGACUGGGCUUUAAAUUAUAGCCGUUUACCAACUCGCCACGUUUCACGGCACGUGCUCUCAGCUGUGAAAAAUCUUGGGAUUCCAGAGGGAUUGCAGUGGCUGGCUUAAGGGCGAUUUUUGGAACUGAUUUGGAGACGUUGGUGUUAGUUCUAUGGUUGUCUUCUCGUUAGUUUUCACUGUCUGUCCUGGCUCUGUGUUCAGUCGGUUAAUAUCCAGUUGCAAAAAAGUUCACUCGAAAGAGUCUUGUAACUAAUUCGUACGUCGUUGGACCUACUGACUCGAGCCUUGACUUUCGCGUUGCGCAAUAACGAAUUCCCAAACCUGGAGAACGGGCUAUGCGUCAUCAGGCAUACGGACUAUUAUUGAGAAAUAGUACGGACACCGUUAUAAACCAACUAGAAGAUCCUAUUUAUAACGAGAGCAUCGAUCAAUCGAUCAGUCUUGGCCAUGAAUCUAAAGGGAGAGUGUAUGUACACGGUUGGAUAGAAAUAUUCUGUAACCGAAAAAAUGGGCGGUAGAUAUUAUUAGAAGAAUAUGAAAAAAAUUAAUAAUUUUAGAUAAGAAAUGGUACCUAAAACUUAAAAAUUGUAAAUUUCUACGUUAAAUAUAAGAUUUCAUUAAUCUCGCUUGCCGAUAGAGAUCUUAAGGUCGUAGUAACAUUUGAAAUUCUCAUAAAUCAAUUAUUAUCAAAGGAUGCCGAAGAUCGACCAUCUUGUUUUUUUUUUAUCAGCCUUUAAAUGAUUCCGAGCACGGAAAUGUUUGUGUCUAUUUAAGUUUUAUACAGACGACAUGUAUAAAUGGAAUUUUUGCUAUCACUCAAUGAUACAUUACUAUUACAAAAAUGAGAUACAGCUAUAGGUUGUAACAUGGCGAUUUGAAAUUCACGAGAUAAGUCCGAUAACCUUAUACAGAUAAAUGAAAAUGUUUGACCGCCAAGUAAUGUAUUGAUAAAAUUUCAGAGUAUGGAAUUAUUAUAUUAUUAUUGUUUUUACAGUCUGUAUCAUUUAAAUAUUGAUGAAUUGUACACAGACGUGUUUGCUGAUGCUGGUUAUUUUCAUAGGAUCGUGUCAGCAUGAUGAAUAAACCAAUGACAUCAUUUUGUGCCAUGACGCUUUAACGGGAUGCGGUCACAAGAUCAGCCUGAGAAAUAGGAAUAAAACGAGAAUGCAGAUAACAACGAGAUAAUACGAUCUACCAGGAAACUUGGAAAUACUCAUUUCUAUAAACAUACUACAGUCAUCUUUUUCCUAAGCUUAAUGACCCUGCCUAAGGAAACCCCUCACUCCCUUUCACAUGCUGCCUCAUUGUCAUUACGAUGAUUCACUUUUUGGACGACUCCUUUUGCGGCAGACAAUAGGCGAUCUUUCGUUUACUCUGACAUCCAGGUUCCAAAUUCAUGACGCGUACAUUGGAACUACUGGAGACAUCGAUCGGCACCAUCACAAGACUACGAGAGCCUGCUAGACAAAUCGUGACACGAAUGACUGGAAUAUACCUUGGGAAUGAAAGCAAAAGGAAUCUGAAUUCAGAUAGAUAUAUACGUGGAUUAUUUUGACGGCAUGAAAAGCGUUCAAUACGAAUUCAAUUGUUAGGUUAAUAAUGAUAUUUGUGAAAAGAUAAAGUGUACUGACAGAUAUUUUAAUUGAAUGU